CAUUAGAGAGUAUAACAACUCCCAACCCAUGUGAACAUACCUAUCGUUGCCUCGGCGGAGAGGGGCUGCCCGCUGAUGCCUACCCGGGGCUUGCUACCCGGCACGGCAGGGUGCCUCCCGCCGCCGCGGGCCCGCGAAACUCUGUUUUAUUUUGCAACUCUGAAUAUUAAAACAAAUAAGUUAAAACUUUCAACAACGGAUCUCUUGGUUCUGGCAUCGAUGAAGAACGCAGCGAAAUGCGAUAAGUAAUGUGAAUUGCAGAAUUCAGUGAAUCAUCGAAUCUUUGAACGCACAUUGCGCCCAUUAGUAUUCUAGUGGGCAUGCCUGUUCGAGCGUCAUUUCGACCAUUAAGCCCUGUCGCUUAGCGUUGGGAGCCUGCUGGCCUGGCCUGCAGCUCCUCAAAGUUAGUGGCGGAGUUAGUGUAUACUCUAGGCGUAGUAAUUUUUAUCUCGCUUCUGUAGUUACGCUGGCACCUGCCGUAAAACACCCAACUUUUAAUAGGUUUGACCUCGGAUCAGGUAGGAAUACCCGCUGAACUUAAGCAUAUCA
rnacentral:rRNA from 1 species